rnacentral:misc_RNA from 1 species
AAGGGGGUUAUCUAACUCUAAAUAGAAGGUAAGAGAGCUACGUGGGCUUUGAUUCCUCUAAACCCCAAGAGGAUACGUAGGUAACUUAAUUUCUACAAAAUUAAGUUCAAGCCCUUCUUUUUUUUUUUUUUUAACUAAAAUUAAUUUAAUAUCUUUUUAUUUAUAUAAUUUUUUCAAAUUAAGUCUACACAUUUCUAAUUAAUUUUUAUUACAAACACAAAUAAUAUGAUUUUCUUCUUUUCUUAUUUUUUUUCCAAAUAUUUAUUUUACUAAUUUUUUUCUCCCAUUUUUUGAUAAAUGGCCCUAAACCGUCUCUUGAACCGCUCCAAACAGCCCAACUUUAAAUCGCCUAUUAAACGGUUUCAAAUCGGGGCUCGAACCGAAACCGGCGGUUUAUGAAUUGCCCCUCAAACCGUCCCUUAACGGUUCAGUUCAAGUUCGAUAUUUCUCUAAACCUAAACCAGUGGUUCAAGAACCGUAACUAGCGGUUCCUAAACUAUGGCCACCCCUAGAUAGAAAUGUAAUAGACCAGGAAAUGCCAUAAGCAAUUGGCAUUUGAAUCUUUGAAUGAUUUCCUUCUUAUAUGGUUUGAUAAAAUAGGUAAGUUAAAUUAUUGAAGAGUCAACCUUAAAACUGCACCUUUGUUAUGUUUUGAAUUAUGGGCCACACAAUCUCAUUAAACUUGGUGAUUGAAUAGGACCUCCACGAAACCAUAUUUAUAUAAUGUAAAGCAAUC